rnacentral:rRNA from 1 species
UACAGAGGUGGCAAGCGUUGUUCGGAAUUACUGGGCGUAAAGGGCGCGUAGGCGGCCUACUAAGUCAGACGUGAAAUCCCCCGGCUUAACCUGGGAACUGCGUCUGAUACUGGAAGGCUUGAGGAUGGGAGAGGGAUGUAGAAUUCCAGGUGUAGCGGUGAAAUGCGUAGAUAUCUGGAGGAACACCGGUGGCGAAGGCGGGUCUCUGGGCCGAUACUGACGCUGAGGAGCGAAAGCGUGGGGAGCGAACAGG